rnacentral:siRNA from 1 species
AGGAUGUGGUUGGUGUACU